rnacentral:lncRNA from 1 species
CUGGUUUUCUGUUGGUUGGCCUCCAGCCAGGAGGUGGCGCUUUCAAGAUUACAUCAGCUGCUGUUGUAUAGGGAGGAUACAAGCUUGCCCUAGGGUAAGGUGGGGCCACAGAGCUUCCAAGGGAUUAUGCCCUUCAUCUUUGGCUACCAGGUUGGGUAGAGAAAGACCAUCAGGUGGCCGGGUGCAGUGGCUCAUGCCUGUAAUCCCAGCACUUUGAGAAGCCAAGGCUGACGGAUCACGAGGAAUGCCUGUUACUAUGCAUCUAACAAAGGACUAAAAUCCAGAAUCUACAAGGAACUAAACUCAACAAGAAAAAAUAAUCUCAUUAACAAGUGGGGAAAAGAUAGGAACAGACAUUUCUCAAAAGAAGAUAUACAAGAGGACAAGAAACAUAAAAUAAAAUGCUCAAUAUCACUAACCGUCAGUGAAAUGCAAGUUAAAACCACAAUGAGAUGCCACAUCACACCGGUCGGAAUGGCCAUUAUUAAAAAGUCAAAAAACCACAGAUGUCGACAAAGAUGCAGAGAAAAGGGAGCACUUAUACACCGUUGGUGCGAAUAUGAAUUAGUACAACCUCUAUGGACAACAGUAUAGAGAUUUCUCAAAGAAGUAAAAAUAGAACCACCAUUAGGCCCAGCAAUCCCACUACUGGGUAUCUACCCAAAGAAAGAGAAAUUGUUAUAUAUAUAUAUCUGCACUCAUAUGUUUAUCACUGCACUAGUCGCAGUAACAAAGUCAUGGAAUGAACCUAAGUUUCCAUCAAAAGAUGAUUGGAUAAAGAAAAUGUGGAAUACCAUGAAAUACUACACAUCCGUAGAAAAAAAAUUAUGUCUUCUGCAGCAACAUGGAUGUAACUGGAGGUCAAAAUACUCAGAAACACAACAUCAAAUACCACAUGUUCUCACUUAUAAAUGGGAGACAUGUACAAACAGAGAAAAAUAGUCAAGGCUGGGGACUUUAAAAGAGGGGCUUGGGAGGGACUUGAGAGUUGAAAAAUUACCUACUGGAUACAAUGUUCAUUAUUCAGGUAAUAGGAACAUUAGAAGCCCAAAUCUCAGCUUUCCACAAUAUAUCCAUGUGACAAAUCUGCAUAUAUACCCACUGAAUCUAUAAAAAUAAAAUGAAUAAAUUUUAAAAAGCAUGUUUCAACACUUCAUAGAAACUCUACAGUUUGGUUAUUAACAUAGAAUCUUCUAGGUCUCAUGGUCAAGUAGCAACAGA